CGCGUAGGCGGCCUUGUAAGUUGGGGGUGAAAGCCCGUGGCUCAACCACGGAAUUGCCUUCGAUACUGCUUGGCUUGAGUGUGGUAGAGGUUGGUGGAACUGCGAGUGUAGAGGUGAAAUUCGUAGAUAUUCGCAAGAACACCGGUGGCGAAGGCGGCCAACUGGACCAUCACUGACGCUCAAAUGCGAAAGCGUGGGGAUCAAACAGGAUUAGAUACCCUGGUA
rnacentral:rRNA from 1 species